UCUAGGAUUCAAGAUCAAUCUCAGAGGAUCUUGAAUUCAAAUACAAAUCGAAAACAAGUUCAUCAAGAUCCGAGAGAGAAAACAAAUUACGAUUAUUGCAAUAUGUUUCAAUUUUCUCGAUACGAAUUUUAUUCUUUAUAAUAAUAUAACUCGUCCACGUAUACAAGAUAUAUGAUUUCUCGAGCGUGAGAUCGUCUUGUGUGACGAUCAAUAGAGACAGCUGAGUCAUAAAGACUAAGUUGAAAGGGACUGUUGCACAAGUGGUGGAUCGGGUCAAUCAGAAUCAUCUCAUUCUAUUCCAAAGUGAAUCUCCAGGACCUCCACAGCAAAGAGGGUUCUACUCAGGCUUGUCCCAGUCAAAUCAAAUAACCAGGAUACAGAACAGUUAAACAGAUUACACAUAUCCAAUACAUUAGUUGCAUGAUUCCAUUCAAGAAACAAUCGAAGGUGGUCAUAUAAACAAAAUUCAGAAAUCCUCUAAACAUUGAAUUCUCCAAAAAGCCACAAAACUGCAUACAUAUUCAACAUGAGAAACAAACACCUGCACAUGGGAAUACUGGACAAAGAAAAAAAAGAUAUAGACCCUUGGCUAUCAUAAUGAGUGAACGUAUUAAAUAUAAAAACCCUACAAUGCAAUUUCACAUUGAGGAUGGUCCAAAAAGUUUACUGAAAGAACAAAAAAAGAGCUUAGAAGAGUUAGAGCCAGUGAAAUUAAAUUCAGUUCAAUACCUG
rnacentral:lncRNA from 1 species